rnacentral:rRNA from 1 species
CGCAUCUGUGCAUGCAGAAUAUCAAUAAGCGGAGGAAAAGAAACUAACAAGGAUUCCCCUAGUAACGGCGAGUGAAGCGGGAAGAGCUCAAAUUUGAAAUCUUAAAGGGUUUCCCUUUACGAAUUGUAGUUUAAAGAAGUGUUUUCUGUUGAGGUUUUGGUAAAAGUUCUUUGGAAUAGGACAUCAUAGAGGGUGAGAAUCCCGUAUUUGACCUUUACUUUCAACUUUGUGAUACACUUUCAAAGAGUCGGAUUGUUUGGGAAUGCAGUCCAAAAUGGGUGGUAAAUUUCAUCUAAAGCUAAAUAUUGGCGAGAGACCGAUAGCGAACAAGUACCGUGAGGGAAAGAUGAAAGGAACUUUGAAAAGAGAGUUAAACAGUACGUGAAAUUGUCAAAAGGGAAGCGUUUGACACCAGUGUUGUUUUUCUGAAAAUCAAUUAAAGAACUGUUUAUGCUAAGCUGUUUAGACUUUAUCAGCUAUCUGUUUAGUUUUGAGCUUUCCUUUAAUGCACUUUUCAGUUAACAAGUCAACAUCAAUUUCUUUUGCUGUAAAAAAGCUUGAGGAAGGUGGCUUGAGAUUCGUCUUAAGUGUUUAUAGCCUCUUGCCUAUGCAGUCGGAGAGAUUGAGGUCUGCAGCGUAGAUCCUUCGGGGCUAAAUGCAUUUGUGCUAAGUUAUAGCAUUUUAUAGACAACUUGUUGACUAUGAUUUGUCUUGUAGCUUACUCGCUUAUGUUAUUUUACCUACGCUUAGGAUGUUGAGUCGUAGAGCACGCAG